rnacentral:lncRNA from 1 species
CUCAGAACUAGCCCCCAAACUCAUUUUUCUAGCAGGAUGUCAGCCUAGUCUGCACUGGUCAGGAAUAAAUAAGAAGUGGGGGUAAGGAGUAAAAGGGAGAGGGAGAGCAUUGUUUUUCACGCAAAAAUCUUUAGAACUUUAAGAGUUCCCGUUGUGGCUCAGUAGGUUAAGAACUUGAAACAGUGUCCGUGAGGAUGUGAGUUGGAUCCCUCGCCUCGCUCAGUGGGUUAAGGAUCCGGUGGUGCUGUGGCUGUGGUGUAGGCCAGCACCUGUAGCUCUGAUUCGACCCCUAGCCUGGGAACCUCCACACACCGCAGGUGUGGCCCUAAAAAGAGAAAAAAAAAUCUUGGGAUUUUAGGCCCAAUUCUGUAUUCUUGGAUAAUGCUCCUUUUUGGGGAGUGUUGCUUGUUUGUUGUUGUUGUCAUUGUGGGUUUUCUCUGAAAACAAAGGCCAGCAUUUAGUGAACUUGUGCUUUUCCUUCCAGCUUGAAAAUAUGUCCUACGGCAUCCAGCAACCACUCUACAUAAACUAACAAACGAAACCAAAAAUGUGCUUUCACUCAAACUCAUUCCCAACUGGAGUAGAGUUCCCCGAAGUGAGCAAAGAUUGGUUCUCGUCAGGGGACAAAAAUCAUAGCUGUGACAGCGGUUCGUGGCUCUCCAAAGGGCCCUGGAACAGAUGUGCGGCGUAUCUGUCGUAGUCAAGUGUCCUGGGGGUGGGACAGUUGGGUGAAAAUGUACGGAAGGGCGGGGACUGGGGAACCGUGAAAAAAAGGUUGAGACGCACCGUUGUCACAUGCUUCAGGGAGACUGUCUUCCUGUGUAUCUGUGGAGCCUUUGAAGGUGUCCCCCUGUUCACUUAGCUUUGAGAGCGGCCUCCCCGUGAGGCUCUGCUGGGUCCCUUGGACAUUUACUGGCCGUAACACAGGGGCACUGACCUCUGCUGGUGACAGGUCUGAUCCCAGCUUGGUGCUUGCUGAUCUCAUCCCGUCGUUUUAGAAGCUUCUGGUCCUCUGUCAUCCGGACUCUACCCUUCCUUCCCUGCUGAGUUUGCACACUUGGCCCAGACAAGAGGUUUUUCUCUUUCUUGAUUGUAAAAGUAGUUCGUUUUAUGAAAUGUUUACAGACGAAGCUUUUCUUCUUUGGCUGGCCCCGAAUUUGAAAGCUUGCCGUAUUUAAUAGGUUUCGGGAAGGCAUUCGAAAGCCGCUGAAGUCAGGCUCCAGCUUCCUGGUUGAUGGUGUCUGGAUUCCAGGAGCUGGAGCAGUUUUGAGACCGCAGAGGUCUUGUCAUCUGAAACACUAAGACCCCUGCCUGCUUUGAGCAAGAGAAGAGCACAGAGGGACUGAGGACACCCGAAGUGGCCCCGUGACCGAGCUUCACAAGCCUCAUAAUGGAAAGUCAUCAGAAGCCAAGGCAGUGCUGCUGAGUCAUGUCCACGAUGACAGGCUCUCCUCGACCUUCCCUCUCGAGACUGGCUCUGUCUGCUCUGGGGAUUGGGGGGCGGGGGGGCACUCCGCAGCCCUGUGGUCAGCUGGCCAGGGUCCAGAACAGUGAUUCAGACGCUCCAUAGCUGGGCUGCUUCCACCCACACAGAAUCCUUGCAGCUCUGUCACACAGAAUCCUUGAAACGCUCUGUCUCACCUGCGAAUUUUAAAGCCGAAAAAUUUUGAUACCACAAGGCAUUUGGAGUUUACUCAAAAAAAGUGGAAGGAUUUUUGUCCUUUUUCUAUGAUUAUAAUAACUGGCGCAGAGUUCCUAUCAUGGCUCAGCCGAAACGAAUCUGACUAGCAUCCCUGAGGACGCAGGUUCGAUCCCUGGCCUCGCUCAGUGGGUUAAGGAUCCGGCGUUGCCGUGAGCUGAGGUGUAGGUUGCAGACGCGGCUCGGAUCCCUCAUUGCUGUGGCUGUGGUGUAGGCCGGCGGCUACAGCUCCAGUUGGACCCCUCACCUGGGACCCUCCGUAUGCCUUGGGUGCGGCCUUAAAAAGCAAAACAAAAAAAUUCUAAGAGGGAAAAGCUUCUGUCACCCUGCUUCAUGGAGGAGGAAAUGAAGGAGGUGAGGGGUUGAGUGAGUUACCUCCGGGGACGCAUCUGGGAAGGUGGGGUCAGCAGGUUUCAAAGGCCGUCGUUGGGCUCCGAGCCAGGCCGUGUGACCGACAUGGACUAAUCUACAGCCGGAAACCCUCUUUCCAUUUUCUCACGUCCUAUUCAUUCUUCAGCCCAUUUCCACCGCUCCACCCAGCUUCCUGAGGUGGUCACUCGUGGCUCCAUUCUGCAAACUCCAGUGGCCACUCAGUCCUUUUCUCAUUUUGAGCUCUCGGUCGCUGUCACCAGAGAUGACCUCUGCCCCCUUCUCCCCGAAAACCCUCCGGUGUUCUCUGCACACCUCCUCGUUUCCUCCGUGCAUCUCAGUUUUGUUUUCAGUAGGAGAUUUAGCAGCGUCAAACACACGUGCCACACGCCUGCCCUCCUUUCUCAACAGCGGCUGUUGGACUUGCUCCCGGCCCAUCUGAAGUCCCCUUGUCUUGCCCUCUGGGACCCUCACCCUGGGCAGCCUCCCCGCCUGUCGCCCAGGGUGUGGGUACACGAUGCUUCGAUAACUAGUGACGCCCGGUAGAUAUUUGCAGCCAGAUCUCUCGAGUGUUGGGGCGCCUGUUGGAUGUCUCUGCCUGAGCCGCUCCCCGUCUCUCUGCUCUGUCGUCCCCCCGCCCCGCUUCAGUAGUACCACGUCCCCUGGUACCACGUCCCCUGGUUGUUUGAUUUGUUUUGUAGUUUAACACAAAUGACGUUUGGCUCUGGCUCGCUCCCUCUCCCGCAUGCACGUUUGCAGUCCUCUCACUGUCACCUGCUAAGUACCCACGUGUCUCUGUCACUUCUGUCCUCGCUCCAGGCCAGGCCAUCGUCAUCUUUCUCUUGACUAUUAAACAGUCUGACCUCUCCAGCACCUACUCGGGCCCCUCCCGUCAGCUUCAGCUGCAGUCAGACACAGUUUCUAAGAACAUGGACCUAGGAGCUCCCACUGUGGCACAACGGGACUGGCAGCAUCUCGAGCACUGGGACGCAGACUCGCUCCCCGGCCCUGCGUAGCAGGUUAAGCGUCUGGCGUUGCCACAGCUACGGCUUCAGUCUGAUCUGAUCCCCGGCUCGGGAACGCCGUUUGCCACGGGGAGGCCAAAAACCAGAUAAACAAACCCUGUUCCCUAAUCCUGUCACUUCCACGUUUAAAAGCCUCUCUGACUUUCCUCUGCCUUUAGGCCGGAGCCGAGACUUCUUGCUCUGUUCCCGGACGUGCCGCACUGGCUCCUCCCUCUGCCGCCUCCGUGCCGUCUAGACGUCACACGGGCUGUUCCCUCACCCUGGGUUCUUCCCUGUCCUCUUGGCCACCUGCUCGUUUUCUCCAGGUCUCAGCCUAAAUGUCACUUCCUUGGGAACAGUGACUUUCUGGAAGCCCCGGAAAGGCCUUCACAUAUUAUCUCGUGAUCCCGCGUAGUUGACGGUGCCGUUAAGAAGAAACAUUUAUUCAUGUCUCUUGGCCGUUGUGGGAGCUCUGGGAGGAGGGCACGCAAAGCUUCACAUGUGCCAGCUCUCCAGGAUGGUGCGACGAGUAGACUGAGUGGUGGUAAAUACUUUUUACUCCCGUGAACCGGUUUUUUGGCGCUUUAACUCUACUCUGGCACGAGGACCAGCCCGAUAGCCGGGACGUCCGAGGUAACGUUCCCUCUUAGGAAGCAAGCAAGCAUGUCCACGUGAGGCCUGAGAGGAGGUCCGUUCGCCCAGCUGACGUGCUGAUCACAGAGCCCUGGCGAGGCGGGGGGACAGGGUGCCUCCCUGCCAGGUGCGCCAAGGCCUCUCCCCCUCAGUGGGAGGCGGGAGAGACUGGCCAGCGCCCGGAUGGUCCCAGGCAGUGACGGCGGGUCAGGACUGGCGUCCAUGAUCUGGUGGCUUCGGGAAGAGGCUUUGAGCGCUUUCUUUUGUGACUAUGACGUAAGUGUAACUUAACUCAGAUACUAAAAGGAGAGCCGUUUGGGGGGGACGAAUUUGGGAACCAUUGGAUCAAAUCGUAGUCAUUGUUUUAAUCUUUUCAUUUGCUGCUUCUGUCCCUCUUGGAGCUGUUUCCUGUGUGUCUGAAUUUCUUUCAGGUCAUCGAAGUUUCUGGACUUUGUAGCACCUGGUUCAUUUUAUCUUAGGUUACACUUUGAUCAUUUGUCUCUUGUAAGUUGCUACCAAUAAACUGUUACCUUUUACACACAGUGUUAUUUUAUGGAUCCUGUUUAAUUGGUCUGCGAAGGCCUCCUCAGGCGUCCACAUUCUCACCAUCCGUUUUUCCCUUUUCUGGCUCCUUCCACAUUGAUUUCUCUGGCUUUGGUGCCUGCACAUGUGGCAUGUCCCCCCUUUGCGCUGCAUGUGUAGUUAACGUCACAUAAUUGAGAGCAUGAGUCAGACUCAGAUGGGAGUCCUGAUUCUUCUACGUAAUGGCUGUGAGGUCCAGGCAAGUUAUUUCAAGCCUCAGUCCCUCCACUUGUACGCAGGGCAUGACAGUAGCAUCUAGCAAAUCGGAUUAUAUGCGCGUUAAAUAACCUGAACGUCCUACUCACUUCGGUACCUGCUGUGUAGUCCAGUCUCCAGGAAUAUAACUGGUGAUGACCCCAGAAAGGACCAAAAGGGCAACCAAGGAAAAAUUUAAACUCGAAGCCGCCAUUAGUGUGUCCUCGACAACAGCCGCUGGUCCAGUGCCAGCUCCGCAUCUGUACCUCAGACCUUGCCCUGGGGAACGAGUGCGCAGGGCACCCGGGCGGCAGCAUCGCUGGUCGGGGGGGUGAGGUGGUUUAUCCCGAUCCCCAGGAGCGCUCUGCGGGCAGAACGGCGGCGUUGUCACCACCUUGCAAAUGAAGAAUUCAGGCCAAGGGGAUGAAGGGAUUGGCUCAAGGUCACACUUGAGGGCACUUCGGAUACAGGUUUGGUCUAGCUCUGCCCCGUCCGUCCUUCUCCACGCGACGCCCCUGGGACCUGGAAUUCCCGGAGUCCCCCCUGGAGGAGGGUGGCCUGCUCCCUAACAAACGGAGGAGAGGACCCGGAGCCUGUGAGCGCCUCACCUCUUCUGUGGUGAGCGCUUUAUUCUGCAGGCCGUUUUCUCCUACUUUGAUCUGAAAUCCUAAGUCCGAAUAGCGCUUACACACCUUCAAGAACCACGACGUGCUGUACUGCAGGCCAAGGCCUGUGGCGGGAGGAGCCCUUGUAAUGCGAAACCCCAAAGACGGCACGUGUUGCCAGACAGAUGUUUAAGCUCUGGUAAUGGAAAUGUGUCAGCACGCACCAGUAGAGCCUUCUGUCCCAGCGUCACACGGCAGCAUGCUGGUGGGCUUAUGGUGACAAGCCAGUCUUCAAUUUACCUGAUCCACUCAGCUGGGCUGCCACGUUGCCAUGAUUCAAGGUGGUUUGCUGAGUAUGUUCACUUCUCUCUCCUCGCCCCAAAAUGCUGCUGAAGUGACGGCAGUCAGGGAAAUGGAAUGCAGACAGUAGUCUUGCUCAACAAAAGCAAAAGCUAAUUUCUUGGAAAAGACCAAUAACGUGGAUAAAUCUGUAUCAAGUCUGUUCAAGAAAAAAAGUGAAUAAAAAUACAAAGCAGGCGUUUCCUUGUAGCGCAGUGGGGUAAGGAUCCAGCAUUGUCACUGGAGUAGCUCGGGUCACUGCUGUGGUGCAAACUGCAUCCCUGGCCUGGGGAACUUCCAUCCGCCCUGGGCACAGCCCCCCAAAGAGGAAAAGAAAAUGCAUGGCAACAGAAAUAAGAGGGGCUCCUUAAUUAUAAAUGCAGAGAUGUAGAAAGUGACAGUAAAAGAAAUCUGGGCAUUCCCGUUGCGGCUCGGCAGGUUAAGAACCCGGCUAAUAUCCGUGAGGAUGAGUUCAAUCCCUGGCCUCAGUCAGUGGAUUAAGGAUCCGGGGUGGCCCCAGGCUGCAGCAUAGGCUACAGACGUGGCUUGGAUCCUGCUUUGCUGUGGCAGGCUGGCAGCUGGAGCUCCAGUUUGACCCCAGCCUGAGAACUUCCAUAUGCCAUAGGAGCAGCC